rnacentral:piRNA from 1 species
UGGAAAAUGGAAAUAAAAUAACCCAUCAAU